UACGUAGGGUGCAAGCGUUAAUCGGAAUUACUGGGCGUAAAGCGUGCGCAGGCGGUUUUGUAAGUCUGACGUGAAAUCCCCGGGCUUAACCUGGGAAUUGCGUUGGAGACUGCAAGGCUAGAAUCUGGCAGAGGGGGGGUAGAAUUCCACGUGUAGCAGUGAAAUGCGUAGAGAUGUGGAGGAACACCGAUGCGAAGGCAGCCCCCUGGGUCAAGAUUGACGCUCAUGCACGAAAGCGUGGGGAGCAAACAGG
rnacentral:rRNA from 1 species